UAUCGGUAAGUACCAUCGGUGGUUUUUC
rnacentral:sRNA from 1 species